UAAAUGUAUGUUACCGUUCCGGAGAGAUUUAAUGCAAUUGUUCCUCGGAAUUGAAAAAAUCAGUAGAAAAAUCAAUACGCAACCUCGGAAGAAAACAUGGUUUUUAAUGACGGUAAAGACAAUUCAUUAUGUCAGUGUCAUUAUGAAAAUGAAAACACAAGAGUAUAGUAGUUACAGAAUCCAGGGUUCUUGCGUGUUUCUGUGGGAUGCACAAAAAUAAAUUACUUUUUAAUUUAUUUAAAGAAAUUUCUUGUAAAGUUUUGGCUUGGAUUGUUUCUAGUUCUACUGACUGAAUUAAAUAUGCAAGUCAGUAAGUGGGAUUAAAUUAUUUGACAAGUUUUUUUUUUUUAAUUUGGAGCUUAUACGG
rnacentral:lncRNA from 1 species